GAGAGAGAUAUGAAGUGGGUCAAGGUUUCUCAUUCUGUGUUUUAACGCUCGGUGAAUGAUACAACAUAAAUACACCAUUAUAACAAGAGGACUUCGAUAACCGGACAACAUACGCUCAGCCAGGGAUGGGGCCUCCCCACGCCAGGCCUUUAGGGCCCCAUCGGUGCACCAUGCAUAAUAGUAAAUCGGCCCUCACCAUCCAGGAACAAACUGGCACUCGCCGUACAGGUAGGUCUUACAGAGAUGUAAACUGCUGCAUCCAGGUCCAGCGCACACCAGCCUUCUGCACAGUCGGAAGGCUGGUUGCUAUAGCAGCAGCUCGUGUGAUAGCAUAUGACAAUUUUGAAGGUUUUGAGAACCACGACGAAGAAAUUAACAACAAAACUAGCUCUGCUUGCUACGGAAAGCCGAAAACUGUUCCUCAAUUGAUCGGGGAGCCGAUCAGACGCUUCUCUCCAUUAUAAUGCGCGUUGGCGAACCGGUCUCGGUUGCUGAUGAUCUUGUUCACCGUCGAAGCGUCUCCGAACACACAGUUGGCCACCCAGGAUGGGUUUUUUGAGAUAAGUUUUGUGUUAUGCACUCAAAAAAAUAAAUCAUUGGAUCAACGUGAUUUUAUCAUGCCACCUAAAAUUCCACGUAAACAAAUCAUGUUACGUCAGCGAAUCUUUAUCAUGUUAUUUAAACACAUUGUACAUGUGUAGGUUGAACAUAAUGUUAAUAUUUUCAUUCAACUAAUUUGCAUCUUGUUGAAUUUAUUAGUUUGUACUUCAUGUGACCAACAUGAUUUUAUCAUGCAACCUAAAUUCCACGUAAACAUCAUGUUAUGUCAGCGAACCUUAAUCAUGUUAUUUGAAUUAUGUUCCUAAAUCGUAUCGUAGCACAUGUAUCUAGAUAAGUAUCGGAUCGUCCUCUAAAGGAGAGAUGCACAGCCCUAAUAAUAUCAAACAAACAAGAACCAGUGAUAUAAUCGCUCAUACAUUUUAAGCCUGCAGAUGAUAGAAUCCCAAAGAGAGCUAAAGCCUUCAACACAAACACACAACCAAAGAGUUUUGCUCAAGAGAAACAAGAAGUAAACAGCAAUAAUCCAAAAUCACGUAAAAGUGAAGCUCAUGGCAUCACAAAGUGUCCCACUUUCACAGCUAAGAGUGUUGAAGAUAAAAAGGCAUUUAUCCAUGAAAAUUGGCUCUGCUUUGGAUGUUUGAGAAAGGGUCAAAUGAUCAAGGAUUGUAAGAGGCGGCACACGUGCAACACAUGCAACCGUCGUCACCCAACCUGUUGAAGCAAUAACGAAUAGCUCCACUUCCACAGAGGAACAUGCAAGCCAGGAAACACACAAAGUCAUGUCCCAUACAUCAACACAACGUGCAUCUGCUACCUCAAGUAUCCUCCUAGUCUUUGUGUCUUCAGUACAAGAACCACACAGAGAAAUACUCACAUACGCAAUACUAGACACACAAAGUGAAUCAACAAUUGCCUUAGAAGAUGUACUUGAUAAAUUGAAUGUGGAUGUCCAACCAAUAAAACUGAAACCUAGUACUAUGACAGCAAUUGACACAAUCAUAUCGAGUAAGAGUCUUCAUGGUCUACAAGUUCGAGGACUCCACUCUGAGAGCCGUAUUCAACUACAGCAGGCCUACAGCCGUGACUUUAUCCCGGUGGAUAAGUCUUAUGUUCCAACAAAGGAAACCGCAUUACUGUGUCCUCAUCUCAGAAGCUUGGCAGAUAAUUUACCACCCCUUGAAGACUGUGAUGUAGGGCUCCUAAUCGGAUACGACUGUCCAGCAGCACUAGCUCCUCAUGAACUCAUCUUAGGUGAUGAAAACUAACCAUUUGCACAGAGAUCAGAACUAGGAUGGAGUAUAAUAGGCUGAUCAAACCCCCACUUAGACAGUCAAGGAGGUCAGAGCUUUGUGCAUCGACUCACAGUAAAAUAACUGCCAGUUCCAUCAGCGACAGAUGUUCUAAAGGCCCUGGAAUCAGACUUUAUUGAGAGAACUUAUGAGGAUAAAUAUGUGACCCAAGAAGAUGUUCAUUUCAUACAGUUCCUCAGUAACCACAUCACACAGAAGGAGGACGGGCAUUAUGAAAUGCCUCUCCCCUUCAAAGGCAACAGUCCGCCCAACCUGCCAGACCACAAAAGGUUAGCCAUGGUUCGAGUCACUUUUCCUCAUGGACAACACUUGUAAAGGUGGUUGCAAGAAUCAAGAGACAGAGUGCUAAACAAAAACAACAUAGUGAACGUGUGACUGUGGAGGAGCGUGAGAAGGCUGCUGAGGCAGUGAUUAAAAUCACACAGCAGCAAGCCUUCCCCCAUGAGAUAAAGACGCUUCAAGGUGAAAAAUACCUCCCAAACUCAAUCUCUCUCUUCAGUCUUGAUCCCAUUUGGUCUCAAGGACUUCUCCGUGUUGGUGGGAGAUUAAAAAAGUAAUCUCUGCCACAAAAUUAAGUACCCAGUCAUCUUACCAAACAACAGUCAUAUGACUAAGCUGAUUGUGUCCCACUGCCACGCUAAGACAUGCCAUCAGGGUCAAAGCCAGACACAAAUGGAACUUAGGACAAAUGGAUUCUGGGUCAUUGGUGGCAGCAAGCUGGUUGCUAAACUGAUACUUACCUGUGUGCUUUGCAGGAAACUUCGACGGCCGACAGAGUACCAGCGGAUGGCUGAACUCCCUAAAGAACGUCUUGAAGCCUCAGAACCUUUUACAAAUAGCGGCAUGGACUGUUUUGGCCCGUUCAUUGUAAAGAAAGCCCGCAAAGAAUAUGAAAGAUAUGGCCUGAUUUUCACAGGUCUGUACUCAAGAGCUGUCCAUAUCGAGAGAUUUGUCGACAGACUCAUUCAUCAACGCAUUGAGAUGCUUUAUCAGCCUCAGAGGAGCUGUCCGACAACUACACUGCGACCAAGGUUCUAACUUUGUUGGCGCCAGAAAUGAGUUUAAGGAAGCACUUAUACAAUGUGACACCAAGCUCCUGGAAAUGUGCCUGUCUGAGAAGCAAUGUGAAUUUCUCUUCAUCGCCCCCUCUGCCAGCCAUGCAGGCGGUGUCUGGGAACGGCAAAUUAGAUCUGUUCGAAAUGUGCGGAAUGCAACCUUCGCCCAGUGCCCAUGUCGACUUGAUGAAGCCUCUCUCAGAGCACUGUUGUAUGAGGCCAUGGCAAUUGUUAACAGUCGCCCAUUAACAGUAGAUGGAAUCAAUGAUCCUCAUGCGCUGGAACCUUUAACACCGAAUCAUCUCAUCAUGAUGAAAUCUAAAGACGACAACCUCCCGAGAAAUCAUUGGCAACUAGGACGAGUGGUGGAGACUGUUUAAGACAGCGAUGGCUUAGUCCGUCGUGUCAAAGUGCAUGUAAGAGAGCGAAAGUCUCAAAGAAAACAAGAUCCCCCUUCCAAACCCUCAGUUAUUGAGAGACCAAUCCAACAAUUAGUGCUUCUCCUUGAAAAAUUAUGCAGAACAAACCACAACAGUUAUGUGCACACUGCUUUAGUGAUAUGAUGUGAUUCAAAUAAUUUGUAUGCCUCUGACAGUUCAAUGUAAAGUAAUCUAUUAAUUAAGAAAUUAGUCAAGAAAUCCUGUACAAUUAAUUUGCUUCUUGUGUAUUUGCUCAUUCAUUGUAGCAGGAGUUGGUGGGAGUGUAAAUUGCAGUUAAUUUCGUCUAUAAGUUAUGCCAUUUUACUUUUUUGUACUUUUAUUUGACGAGCACCCCCCUUAUUUUGUUACUUCCUGUUAUCAAAAACGCUAGACUUCCUGCUCCCUCUCGGCAAAAACCACAUGCUCACGAAGCUACAGAGUUGUGUAAGGGCUGGUACCGCAGGCUGACCUCAAACUUAGCGCGCUUGGAAGCAGAAAGACAGGAGAGAAGCUCUUUCAGUCCGUCGGCCAGCCCCCAGCCCAACUCCACCUCCUCCCCCGUCCAUGCCCCCGCCGCCCGGCCCACCGGCCGCAUGGAGGAGGACCCCACCCGGCUGCCCACCCACCUGCGUGAGUCCAGCGCACCUGCGCCACAGACACAGACAGACAGACAGACAGACAGGAGUCAAACCGGGUUCCUGGCUCUGUAUUUUUAUUUAACAUGUGAGGACCCCAGGGCUUUCCUUCGGGACGCCUUCAGAGAAUGAUUACAACUGCAAGGGCCCGCGGGUCACAAGUCCUCACCCGAGGCCUGUCCUGCUGUGCUAUUUAUUUCCUUAUUGACAGAUGGAAGACAGAAUAUUCCCCUCAAGGCGUCCUCUCUCACACAUCGGUCUGACACGCACACACACACACGAACACACACACACACACACACACACACACAC